CGCUGGCGGCAGGCCUAACACAUGCAAGUCGAGCGGAUGACGGGAGCUUGCUCCCUGAUUCAGCGGCGGACGGGUGAGUAAUGCCUAGGAAUCUGCCUGGUAGUGGGGGACAACGUCUCGAAAGGGACGCUAAUACCGCAUACGUCCUACGGGAGGAAGUGGGGGAUCUUCGGACCUCACGCUAUCAGAUGAGCCUAGGUCGGAUUAGCUAGUUGGUGAGGUAAUGGCUCACCAAGGCGACGAUCCGUAACUGGUCUGAGAGGAUGAUCAGUCACACUGGAACUGAGACACGGUCCAGACUCCUACGGGAGGCAGCAGUGGGGAAUAUUGGACAAUGGGCGAAAGCCUGAUCCAGCCAUGCCGCGUGUGUGAAGAAGGUCUUCGGAUUGUAAAGCACUUUAAGUUGGGAGGAAGGGCAUUAACCUAAUACGUUAGUGUUUUGACGUUACCGACAGAAUAAGCACCGGCU
rnacentral:rRNA from 1 species